rnacentral:rRNA from 1 species
GGGGAAUAUUGCGGAAUGGGGGAAACCCUGACGCAGCAAUACCGCGUGAGUGAAGAAGGAUUUCGUAUCGUAAAGCCCUGUUAUUGUGGAAGAAAAAAAGACGGUACCCAAGAAGAAAGUCCCGGCUAACUACGUGCCAGCAGCCGCGGUAAAACGUAGGGGAAAAGCGUUGUCCGGAUUUACUGGGCGUAAAGGGCACGCAGGCGGUUUUUUAAGUCAGAUGUGAAAGGUACCGGCUCAACCGGUAACAAGCAUUUGAAACUGAAAGACUUGAGUAUUGGAGAGGCAAGUGGAAUUCCUAGUGUAGCGGUGAAAUGCGUAGAUAUUAGGAGGAACACCGGUGGCGAAGGCGGCUUGCUGGACAAAUACUGACGCUGAGGUGCGAAAGCGUGGGGAGCAAACA